CCCCCCUUCAACUACUGUGAACUUCGCUUGCACAUGGUACUUUGCAUCUCCCACAGAACAGCCGCGUGACAAUCGGUGCAUCUCCCCCAGAAACGCCGCGUGACAAUCGGCUUAAUAAUGCUUCAGUGUGUGGUACUCCUCAAAACACGGGACAGCACACAAGGGAGUGUUGCAUGGCACACACAUGUGCUUGGUGAGGCGCCUCUGCUUGCCCUUGCGUGUGCUGGAGAGGCAGACCUUGCAGUGCUGCCUGGACUUGCUGCCCUGGGAAGUGGUCUGAGGGACUUCAGAUGGGAAAUGCCUGGCUGUAAGGCGCAGAGGAGUGUCCAAGGCAGGACGCCCGCCUUUGGUUGGACCUCGCAAUGUGCUGUACUCCUCCAGCAGCCCUCUCAUCAGUAAUUUGCCGGUAGACGAUGUGGCUGUUGAGUAAAACAGUGUCGAGUACAUGAAAAAAUACUUUCUUGUACCACUUGGUAGAUUUCUGGUGCAUUCAU